GCUUAUUAAUAACUCACUCACUAUAUGUGCACGCUCUUCAUUCUGACGCCGCCCUUCACACAGUUCACUGGGUGUUCGAAUAGAGUUCGGGGUAACACAUUUUUAAUAUUGAAUACCUCUUUGUUCCGGUGAGACGGGUUUAAUUGGGUGUGGCACUGCCAUACAAUUGGGGUAUGUUAUUGAUGUAUUUGUGUUUAUUUUUUCCAUAAUAUUCAUGACAAUGUCUUUGUUGACUGAGUAUUUGAUAUGUUGUAUAUUUUUGGAAAGAAACAAUAUUUAUUGUGUUUUAUUUCUUUUCCUUGUAAUAGCUCAUUGCCAAUUUGUAUAUAUAAUAAAAAUAGUGACAUUGAA